rnacentral:SRP_RNA from 1 species
GCCCGAGCCCUGUGCACUGCGGUUCCGUGAACCCCGCCAGGCCCGGAAGGGAGCAACGGUAAGCGGUCCGCCGCAGGUGCCGCAGGUCUACUUGGGCCCC